rnacentral:lncRNA from 1 species
UACACAUACAACGGAACAUUAUUUGGCCUUAAAAAGGAAGGAAAUUCUGACAUAUGCCACAGCAUGGAUGAACAUUGAGGACAUUAUGCUAAAAAAUAAGCCGGUCACAAGAAGGCAGAUACUGUAUGAUUCCACUUAUUUGAGUGAGACACUUAAGAGUAGUCGAAAUCACGGAGACAGAAAGUAGAAUGGUGAUUGCCAGGGGCCGGGGGAGGGAGAAAUGAGGAAUCAUUCUUUAAUGAGUAUAUUGUUUCAGUUUUGCAGGAUGAAAAGAGCUAUGAACAUGGAUGGUGGUGAUGGUUGCACAACAUUGUGAAAGUAUUAAAUACACUAAAUUUUACACUUAAAAAUGGCUAGGCUAGUAAAUUUUAUGUUACAUUUACUUUACCACAAUUUAAAAAACAGGAAAAAAAAGAUCAUUCAGAGAUCUGGGUACAAAGCAGAUUCUGAUUCAGUAGGUUGGGUGUGGCCUGAGACUCUGCUUUUCCAAGUUCCCAGGUAAUGCAGGUGCUGCUGGUCCACGGACCACACUUGGGUAACAUGGGAUUAGAGUACGUGAGAAAAGAAGGGUCAUCGUCUCCCAGAAUGCUGCUAGAUGGUGACACGAGAGAGGAAGGGAAUGACAAGCAACCAGCAGGGCUUGCUGGACUGUGGGAAGCAGGACCGAGUGAGCAGGCUUGCCUUGCUGUGCUGGAGGACCUCCCCUCCUCAGCAGGGCCUGUUCCCAGAGGUGAAAAUGGGCCCACUUAGACACAGGUGUGUGUCUGUGUAUUGUCAGCACCUGCAGGCAGAGAACGUCUCUGGGGCUGUGGCGUUUCCUCAUGCCCUCUGUUCUCAGAAAGCCCACACUGCAGGCUGCUGGCGAGAAGAUCUCAGGAAGCAGGUCCUGUGAAGAGGUUCAACCCAAUUUGCUUUCCUCAUGCUCCAGCGUUGACCUGGACACUGGAAUUGAGAAAGAAAUGGGAAGAAAAGGAGGACUCUGCAGAGGUGAAUGAGAGGCACAGACUUCUCAUUGUUUUGGAGGAAAACAGAAUGGUGUGGUAUCCCAGAAGCUAAGACAACAAAGGGUUUCAAGGAGGAAGAGAACAACUGCAUCAACACCAAAUGCUGCUGAGAGGUUCAGGAAGGAAGAUUAGCCCUGAGCUAACAUCUGCUGCCAGUCCUCCUCUCUUUGCUGAGGAAGAAGCCAACAUCCAUGCCCAUCUUCCUCUACUUUAUAUCUGGGACACCUGCCACAGCAUGUCAUGCCAAGCUGUGUGUAGGCCUGCACCCGGGAUCCAAACCUGCAAAUCCCAGGCUGCAGAAGCAGAGCAUGCAUACUUAACCACUGCGCCACUGGGCCACCCCAAUGAAGAAUACUGCCUGCUCCCCCCAACUCAGUUGAGGCACAAGCUCUCCAGGGCCCAUCUGUCCCAUCCAGCUCCCUCUACUCAUUAUUUUUCUCUGGGCCCAGCU